GAUGAACGCUGGCGGCGUGCUUUACACAUGCAAGUCGAACGGUGAAGCAGGAGCUUGCUCUUGUGGAUCAGUGGCGAACGGGUGAGUAACACGUGAGCAACCUGCCCCUGACUCUGGGAUAAGCGCUGGAAACGGCGUCUAAUACUGGAUAUGUGAUGUGACCGCAUGGUCUGCAUCUGGAAAGAAUUUCGGUUGGGGAUGGGCUCGCGGCAUAUCUGCUUGUUGGUGAGGUAAUGGCUCACCAAGGCGUCGACGUGUCGCCGGCCGGAGAGGGUGACCGGCCACACUGGGACUGAUACACGGCCCAGACUCCUACGGGAGGGAGCAGUGGGGAAUAUUGCACAAUGGGCGGAAGCCUGAUGCAGCAACGCCGCGUGAGGGAUGACGGCCUUCGGGCUGUAAACCUCUUUUAGCAGGGAAGAAGCGAAAGUGACGGUACCUGCAGAAAAAGCACCGGCUAACUACGUGCCAGCCGCCGCCGUAA
rnacentral:rRNA from 1 species